rnacentral:tRNA from 1 species
GGUUCCAUAGUGUAGCAGUUAGCACGUUCGCUUUACAUGCAGAAGGUCCAGGUUUUGGACCCCAGUGGAGCCA